AAAAGUCUGUCCUCAUUUUUCUUAUGAACCCUAAGCUACACUGACUGGCUCAGCUUGUGCCUACCCUCCGCUGGCAGGUGAGGGUAACACGUUGAACUCCAUUUGUGAUGGGGACCAGGGAUUGCAAUUCUUCUCUGUGUAUGAGGAAUUCUCAGUAAAUGUGGGUCAUAAGUGGAUGUUGAUUAA
rnacentral:ncRNA from 1 species